CCCUUAGAUGUUCUGGGCCGCACGCGCGCUACACUGACGAAUGCAACGAGCUUAUAACCUUGGCCGAAAGGUCUGGGUAAUCUCCAAAUUUCGUCGUGAUGGGGAUAGAUUAUUGCAAUUAUUAAUCUUCAACGAGGAAUGCCUAGUAAGCGCAAGUCAUCAGCUUGCGUUGAUUACGUCCCUGCCCUUUGUACACACCGCCCGUCGCUCCUACCGAUUGAGUGGUCCGGUGAAGCGUUCGGACCGUGGCCUUUGGACGGUUCGCCGUCUGUUGGCUGCGGGAAGUUCGUUAAACCUUAUCAUUUAGAGGAAGGAGAAGUCGUAACA
rnacentral:rRNA from 1 species